AUGGAGUUAAUUUUUUUUUCAUAACAUCUGUUUUGGAGCUAGCUUGUAAAUUUGUGACCAAAGCAGUGUUGAUAACACACUAAUAUUUCAGCUGUUGCUGAACAGUGUUUGCACAGCUUUAAGGUCUUAGUUUCUCAUUCUGCCCUCAUCCAGUGAAUAGAUCACAGGUGUGCUAGAGGUCGGGCAGGGACACAGCCAGGCAGAUGACCCAAACUAACCAAGGAGAUAUAACAUGCUGUAAAACAUCAUGUUUCAGUAAUAAGAAGGGAGAGGAGAGAGUUCAGGGAUGUUAGACCUCUUUUGCUUGGGAACUGCCUGGGCAUCAGUCUACCCAAGGGAGUUGGUGCAUGGAGCAGUUGGGAGAGCUGCACCUUCAGGGUGACAUUCGGUGAGAUAGAAAAAUUGCUCUAAAUUUGGAGUCAACAUCCUGGGGAAGAAAAUAUAAAUAGAUCACCUAUUCAGGAGAUCGCUUACUUUUUAGAUCAAACGGAUCAGAUUUGCAGAACAUUUAAACUAAUUGAAGUAAACAGGAAAUGAAAUGAAACCAAACCGAAGUUAAACAUGUUAGAUUAACCUUGUACUUAUCUUUGAUAUCUUCCAAAGAAGUGGUUGUCUAGUCUGCAGAGAUUUCAGUAAAGCAUUGACAUGGGCAACCACUAACUGAGCUGAGAAAGCAGAGCAUUACCACAAGAAUACAAAACAAUGACCAAAGCAUGAGCAAGCAAAGUUUCAGCUAUGCAGCCCUCUAUUUUCCUGUCUCCUAAAUCCUGCUCCACAUCGCAACUGAACAUCGCGGAAUAAACACUAACAAAUUGUAUGGAGGCAUGAACCAGAAGAAUGGAGAAAUUCUGCUAGUGGAGUUACUCCAAGAUCAGAAUUGAGAUAUACAGUUAUUCCAUUGAUGACAUCAAGCUGUGGAAAUGUUAAGUUAGAAGGGGUGGAUAAUCAGAAGUGGAUCAAAUAUUAUGUAGAAUGAAAUGAAUUCCCUCAAGUGGUGUAACUGAACUCGAAUAAAAUUUAACAGUUAUAGCUUGGCGAGUAAAGACUUGCAAACAAUAA